rnacentral:rRNA from 1 species
UACGUAGGGUGCGAGCGUUGUCCGGAAUUAUUGGGCGUAAAGAGCUUGUAGGCGGUUUGUCGCGUCUGCUGUGAAAAUCCGGGGCUCAACCCCGGACUUGCAGUGGGUACGGGCAGGCUAGAGUGUGGUAGGGGAGACUGGAAUUCCUGGUGUAGCGGUGAAAUGCGCAGAUAUCGGGAGGAACACCGAUGGCGAAGGCAGGUCUCUGGGCCACUACUGACGCUGAGAAGCGAAAGCAUGGGGAGCGAACAGG